GACGAACGCUGGCGGCGUGCUUAACACAUGCAAGUCGAACGGAAAGGCCCUGCUUUUGUUGGGUGCUCGAGUGGCGAACGGGUGAGUAACACGUGAGUAACCUGCCCUUGACUUUGGGAUAACUUCAGGAAACUGGGGCUAAUACCGGAUAGGAGCUCCUGCUGCUUGGUGGGGGUUGGAAAGUUUCGGCGGUUGGGGAUGGACUCGCGGCUUAUCAGCUUGUUGGUGGGGUAGUGGCUUAGCAAGGUUUUGACGGGUCGCCGGCCUGAGAGGGUGACCGGCCACAUAGGGACUGAGGUACGGCCCAGAGUCCUACGGGAGGCAUCAGUGGGGAAUAUUGCGCAAUGGGCGGAGGCCGUAUGCAGCAUCGCCGCGUGCUGGAUGACGGCUUUCGGGUUGUAAACCGCUUUCGCCUGUGACGAAGCGUGAGUGACGGUAAUGGGUAAGGAAGCACCGGCUAACUACGUG
rnacentral:rRNA from 1 species